GGCCUGAUAGCUCAACUGGUAGACCACUGCACCAGCAUUGCAGAAGUCAGGUUUACAAAUCACCAUUCAGGCCU
rnacentral:tRNA from 1 species